rnacentral:tRNA from 1 species
CGCGCAUGGCAGCGCGCCGGGGCCCGGCGCACAACCGCUUCCACCGGUUCCCGCGGGGUCGGCGCGGGCCGUCCUCGGCUCGGUCCUGAGCACGAGCGA